rnacentral:tRNA from 1 species
ACCCCAGUAGCUCAGUGGAUGAGAGCGUCCGGCUACGAACCGGAAGGUCGCGGGUUCAAGUCCUGCCUGGGGUGCCA